rnacentral:lncRNA from 1 species
CCUGGCCAGCCGCCCUGUCCGGGAGGUGAGGGGCGCCUCUGCCCGGCCGCCCCUACUGGGAAGUGAGGAGCCCCUCUGCCCGGCCAGUCACCCCGUCCAGGAGGGAGGUGGGGUAGGUCAGCCCCCCGCCUGGCUAGCCGCCCCNNNNNNNNNNCCGGCUCACUGGUUCAAGCAAUUAUCCUGCCUCAGCUUCCUGAGUAGCUAGGAUUACAGGUGCCCACCACCAUGCCCAGCUAAUUUUUGUGUUUUUAGUAGAGACAGGGUUUCACCAUGUUGGCCAGGCUAGUCUUGAACUCCUGACCUCAAGUGAUCCACCCGCCUCGGCCUCCGAAAGUGCUGGGAUUACAGGUGUGAGCCACCACACCCAGACAAGUUUUAACAUUUUUCAUAUGCUGUUAGGACCAAAGAAAACCAUUCUUUGAUCCCUGAUUUGAGAUCUCUGGUUUGAACGACAAGCUUUUUGAGGGCAGGAGGCUGUUGACUCCUGCUCCACCUUGUGAGGGAGAGGCUGCUAUCUCCAUUUAACAGGGGAGGAAACUGAGGCAGAAUGCUGAGCUCAAAAGCUCAGGAGGACGGCCAGCCGCCCCGUCCAGGAGGGAGGUGGGGGUGUCAGCCCCCCGCCCGGCCAGCCGCCCCAUCCGGGAGGGAGGUGGGGGGGUUAGCCCCCCGCCUGGCCAGCCGCCCCGUCCGAGAGGUGAGGGGCGCCUCUGCCCGGCCGCCCCUACUGGGAAGUGAGGAGCCCCUCUGCCCGCCCGGCCAGCCGCCCCGUCCGGGAGGGAGGUAGGGGGGGGUCAGCCCCCCGCCCGGCCAGCCGCCCCGUCCGGGAGGGAGGUGGGGGGGUCAGCCCCCCGCCCGGCCAGCCGCCCCGUCCGGGAGGUGAGGGGCGCCUCUGCCCGGCCGCCCCUACUGGGAAGUGAGGAGCCCCUCUGCCCGGCCAGCCGCCCCGUCCAGGAGGGAGGUGGGGGGGGUCAGCCUCCCGCCCGGCCAGCCGCCCCGUCCGGGAGGUGAGGGGCGCCUCUGCCCGGCCGCCCCUACUGGGAGGUGAGGAGCCACGCCAUAUACAAAAAUCAAUGCCAGAUGGAUUGCAUACCUUGAUGUGAAGGGUCAAAGAGAAGCCUUUCCUUUUAGAGAAAAAUAUAGGUGGCCACCUUCAUGAGCUCAGAGGACACAAGGAUCUCUUAGCAGACACAAAA